UGAGAGGGUGUGGCCCGCGCCGGGCUGGUUGGCGGCGGCCGGACGACUGCGCUGGGCAGGUGGGGCGCGCUGAGGGGAGGGGUGAGGCGGCGCACGGAGUAGCUGUAACCUUUGCCACGCUGCUUCCCACCCUCAGACUAGUGCGUCCCCUAGGUGCUGCCUGCCAGAGGUCUCAGCACCAGCACUGCAACCAGUAAUUUGUAAACCAAAAACAAAUACUCAGUGACUGCACAUGCGGCAUUGAGCUGUCCCCUGAUACAUGAGGAUGAAAAGCCUGAUUUCUGUCCUCAGGAGUUUACCUUUUGGCAGCAACAUACACAGCUUGCCAACUGCUCUGCCCUAUCACCCUGUAUGGCAGGAACCUCAGAGAUGAACACAGGAGUUUUACACAACAUGAUCGGAGAAGUGCACUACCCUAUAUCAUCCAGACUGGCAUGGGACAACCCACUUUUUGGACUAUAUGAGAGCAAUUGACUUAUAGUGAAUUGAGUCUCAUGAACUCCGGCAGAGCACUGGGGAUAGGAAGUCUACAGAAAUGCAAAAUGCAGAGCUAACCUAACCAGCAACCACAAAGCAGAGGAAGUGCAGUCAUGUGUUCAGGCUGAACGUCUCCAUGGAGACUGCCAAUGGUUUGCAUCAUUAUUUAUCAUCUGGGUCUCAAGUUACUUUAUUACCACAAGAGAGGAAAAAAAGAGCCAUGCACUCAACUUGUGCCAGCUUCAGAGACAACCAUAUAUACUUUAACCCAUUUCUUGUCCCACACUGUGAACACUGCUAUUCACUACUACUGCAAAAUUAGAGUAGGAAACUGAGAAAAGAAUGAGACACAUUUUCCUGCUGGAAGGCUGACAGGCCCUGGGUCACCCUACAGACUAAGAUGCUCUCCCUCAUCCUGUCCAGCCCCUUCUAACUCUCCAGGACACAACCAUCCAUGCCCAUUUCAAGAUGAUGCCAGGCUUCUUGGAGGAUUCAUUUUUUUGUUUUUUAAAGAAGGACAUCCUUCCAUUUUCCCUCCAAUGUUUAUGUAUAACAUCACACUGUAAAUGCUAAACAUAGUCUCACUAAUAGGAAAAAGAAAUACAUUGGUGCUUACCAGCUUGGGACAGACCAGCUCUUCAUGCAACCUAUUUCAUAAAAGGAGAGUAAAAUGGCUCGAGUGAAUGUGUUUCAAUGGUGGGAAACAUGGAUGUGGUCAUGUAAAACAAUCUCUUUAAACCAGAAUUAAUCAUAACCCACCCUUUUUGCACUUAAGGAAUAACACAUGGUUCUUAAAGGGUGAUGAUAAUGUUUUCAGUAAAGAAAUUGUAUCUGAUAGAACUAUACUGUCAUGUGUUAAAGUUUGUGCGUGUAUACCAUAUUUUAAUGGAGUAGAAUAGUAGCUUAUAGACAUUUUGUAUAAAAGUUUUAAAAACAACAACAAAACCAAACUAGCGGCUGGUGUUGUGGCACAGUGGGUUACACCCCACCAGGAACACCAGCAUCCAAUAUGAGUACCAGUCACAGCAGAAGAUAGCAGAAGUACUUGGGCCUCUGCCACCAACCAUUGUGUCCAUUUGGGGAGUGAACCAGUGGGUGGAAAAUUUCUCUUUUUGUCUCUCCCUCUCUUUCUGUAACUCUGCCUUUCAAAUAAAUAAAUAAGUCUUAAAAAAAAAAAAAGACAUACUACCCUGAGGUCUUUCAUAUGCAUUGUCUUACUCAGUUGUCACAAUAUUCUUUGAUCAUGGCAUGGUUAUUCCUACUUCACAGAGAUGGAUCUAGGCUCCUGCUUAGGAUCAUAUGGCUCAUGUGUCAGAAGGCUCAGAUCUGUGCUUAGGUCUUUUAGUUUAUAUAAGCUGAAUACAACGCUGAUGUAGAAUAUUAGUCAAGUGAUUUUUUUCCCUUUUAUUCAUCUCCUAGAGCUAGAGCUUGUUGGAGAGAGUGUCCUGCUAUCAUCUUUAUCUGGGAUAUUAUAUAAUUUAGGUAAAACUAGGAAUGUAGUAGCAGUCUUAGAUCAUGAUGAAGAGAGGAAGAAAUCAUUCCUGUUACCCAACUGUGUGACUGCAGUGACAAUGAAGAACACCCCAUUUACAAUGACUCAGCAUGUGAACUUCCUAGAGCUACCAAGAGAAGUAGAAAUGUGAACACAGCCUGCGCUCCAAAAUUCUGUAUCAGCCUUUCAAUGUUACUUUCUACAAUCCAAUCGAAUUUACCAGCCCUUUCCAGUCUUCUACAGAUGAGAAAACUGAGGCCUACAGAUCAAGUGAUCUUCAAAGUCCCAGGGUUAGCUGGUGGCAGAGGUGGGACGGACUAGAACCCAGGUGUUCUAAUUGCCAACCCCAUGCUCUUGCCUAAUACGUGUUACAGGUGAUGGUGACAGAAUCACAAUGACAGCUGCCAUUGACCGGAUGCUUACUCAGGUAGUAGUGAGUGUCUUACAUGAAUGAUUUUAACCUUCAAAAUCACAAACCUACAAGGUAGAUGAAGAAAGAGAUGCUCAUAAUUAAGCACAUUCACCAAGAGCCCACUGAAGAAUCUUCUAGGGCCAUUGCUCCCUCGGAGAGAAGCAAAUCCUUCAUAGGGAAUGCUGGAUGUACCGGUAACAAACUAUCAAGCCAAGAAAACAGAAAGGAGCUGGUGAAACCAGAGACCGGCAGGCAGGGAACCAUGGCAUCACAUGGGUGCAGAGCGCCUCAGGAAGAGCAGGUGGGAAAGUUCGGAAGACAGAAUUUUUUGGGUGUGGGAUAACCAUACACAGGAAUUCUGACAAUCAGCCAGAAUGAAAUACUAAAAAAGAACAAUGCAUUAUAAAGGGAAAGUUAUGGAAGCUUUCUAGAAAAUAAGGGGUCCUAUGAGCUCAGAAGCUAACCCAGGCAUAGUUCCUACUAUAGAUGAAUAAAGUGGUUAUCAAUUAACUAAGUCUAUUAGCAUCAGCCCCUGACCAACUCAGGGUUAAUUACAAAGAAACAGAAUUUCUAGGCCUGCACAUUUGAAGUUCAGAUCCUUAACCUAAAGGAGCUAAUAUGCAGUCUGCUUGUAAGGCUGUGCCCGAGCAUGCAAGAGCCCGCCUCAUGUCUGACAGCUCCUCAGCAGCAACCAAGCGGCAAUUACCAGGGUGCCUAUAAACAGCACAACAAAAUAAAGACUUGCCAAGUGGUCUUGAAUGUCAUUGUUUUCUCAAAUUUGUGGCAAGUUCAAAAAAGAAAAAGAAUUCAUUGUCAAGGAACUGGGUCCCUGCUCAAAGUGUUGAAGAUCAUCUUUUUGCUGCUAGGGAUGUGGGCCUCUGGGAUAUCCUGCAGGCCUCUUGCCUGAGGGACCAAACUGCCCUGAUGGCAGACGUUGUUCCUGGGAUCCUGGGACUUACAGCUCUCGUGAAAUGCUCUGACUCAGCUGGGCAUGUUCUGCAUAGGGACGCAGACACACAGCCCUGCAGAGAAGUCUGGAGCAUUUCUAGAUAAACAUGGUAUGUUUGUAUGGACAAUAUUUAGCAAUUAUUAAAAAUGUUGGGGCCAACAUUGUUGUGCAGUUGGUUAAGCCCCUGCUUGUGACACUGACAUCCCCUAGUAGAGCAUGGAUUAGAAUCCCAGCUGCUGCGCCUCUGAUCCAGCUCCCUGCUAAUGCACCUGGAAAGCAGUGGAGGAUGGCCCAGGUACUUGGGCCCCUGCCAUCUGGAUGGAAUUCCAGGUUCCUGGCUUCAGGCUGGCCCAGCCCCAGCUGUUAUGGCCAUUUGGGAAUUGAACCAGCACUCUUUCAAAUAAAUAAAAUAGAUCUUUAAAAACAUACAUUUCCAACAAUAAUCAUACUGAUUCAAUAUACAGAUUUACUAGUGACAUCUUACCUGUAACAACCUUAGUCGUUGUUCAUUGUUGAAUCUUUCCACUGCAGCCCAGAACCACCGAAUUACAAUAUGAUUGUCAUGAUAUCCUAUCAAACCAAUCAUGAAAGUCCAUAUUACUUUGAUUAUUUUAUCCUAAGCCACCAAGAUUAGCAACAAAAGACACAACCCCCAGACAUAGACCAUCACCUUGAAUUCUUUAAACGUUGUCAGUGAAUUAAGACUAAGGAUAAUCAAAAGAUAAACAAAAACAAAACUAAAUGAAACCAACAUUUAGUGGUGACUAAAUGAAACUAAUGGCAAGAAUGACAAUAAAUGAGUUGUUUGAACCAAAUCAUUUCUGAAAAUUCUAAUUGCUGUUACUGGAAAUGCUUAACUCUUUUGAUCAGCCACAUAAAAAGUAAUUUUCAAGUACCACUGCGCCUAACACAGCACUAAGCUUGAAGAUACAGUGGCAAAGAAAAUGGACCCUCACAGGGUUUCUAAUGGAGGACAGACAUAUUUAUCAAAUAAUUUAUACAAAUAAAUAUAUAAUUGGAAGCACAUAUAUUUUAAAAUCAAAUUACUUUUGUGAUGAUUUACAAAUAAAAAGCAAAAUAUCCUUUAAUUCUUUCAACUAAAAAUAUCAUAGUCAUCAACUAAAUUUUAAACUUUAGUAGAAUUUAAUAAAGUAUUGGAAGUAUCAUUUAUAGGAUAGAGGAAGGCAGUGCUUGUGAAUUCCAAACCUUUCAGUGAAAAAAAAUUUAGAGAGAAGGCUGACAAGGAUGAUGGUACAAUUAGUGAUUCAAACCAAUUAAUAGACCUAUUUUAUGUACACAAGAACUGCUUUAAUUCUGAGUCAAUAGUUCCAAAAGAAGGUGAGUAGAAAUCAUUUUAUUUCAGUAGCUGUAGAAUCCGGGAGGACUCUCUCUCCCCAUUUACCAUUUCACUAGAGUUGCAUGAUCUUCUUUUAGAAAAGAGAGAGACCCUAGUGAAGGGUAAACAAAACUGGAUUGAACCUAGUCACACCAGGGUCUGUGUGGAGCCUUUGGUAAAGAACAGUUCUCUGGCACUGAGCAAACAGUUUUCUCAUCUGUACAAUAAAUGCAGUGGCUCUUUGUAGCUUUGAAGUUUUCUGGCCUCAUGAAUCAGUCCUUCUUCUGCUCCUCCUUUGCUUUCCUGGUGCCAAGCCUUUUGGAGGAGGAGAAGUGCAUGUGUCUCCUCAUAUUCUCCACACACAGCUGUGGUAUGGACAAAUGGCAAGUGGCCGCACAGCCACCUCCUCCGUCAGUGCCAGCUAGUUGAGUUAGCAAAUAUGGAAGCUGAGUAUCUCAUCCCUUCUCUGCCCUCUCCCAGGGAUUUCAUUUGAAAAGAUUUAUAAUAACCAUAGAGAUAGAUCCUUGACUAGUCAGAUACAGUAAAUACAAUUUAUACUGUGUAAAUAUAAAAAUAGCCACUUUGAUGAACUUCAUUGCUAUUAGAAUAUCCUGGAGAACAAGCUAACAGUCAUUAUUGUAAAAAUCUGAGCUAUGUUGCAUGCCAGAGAAAGUAUAUUUUAGUUAGUAAAAAUAGUCUGGUGAACACAAUUGUAACCAGCACCAUAUAUGGGUUAUACAUAGGGCCAAUUGGAAAGACUUAGUUCAGCCACUGAACUUCAGAAAUAGCAGCAAUGGAAACUGCAAUUUAAUACAGUCUUUCAAAGAAAAUGGGCAAACAAGUUAGCCAUGGCAAAAGGACAGGAAAGAAGAGUUAAGCUCAGGCAAAACCAAAAGCAAUUUACCAAAUGUUAACACAUUUUUUUUUCUCAAAACAUGUCUUUCCCCCAAUAUCUGUCUCAAGUACAUAUAAUUGGAAAAUGGGUCUGCUAAUUUAUUAAUUUGGUGACUAUAUUUUUUUACUACUGCUCAGCUUGCUGAAUUUUAAGAACCCUGUGUUACUCCAUUCAAGUGUUUCAACUGUGAAUGACAACUAGUAAGUAGAACUGCAGAAAAACUGUGCUGAUUAGGAAGCUCAAAGGGCGUGCCUCUUUGAGUUUUAAAAUGAAAAUGAAAUAGGUGGAGUUUGACCAGCUGGCUAUUAGCUCCCCAGUGCGUCACUAACAACACCAUAAAGUAAUUAAUUACUGUUCCUCUGGUCACAUUUCCAACCAUUAAGAGUUAUGACAUCCUCAGAUGGUGUGUAAACAGUCCUUCCCCCAUCUGACAGAUGAGGUAACUAGGAAAAGAAGGGAAUGUACCUUGCCCAAAGUCUCAAGGGAGACUGCAUCAGUCCUAUGAUUAGAGGGCAAGUGCUUUUGCCUCUCCUAUGUUCAGAUCAGCACGCAGAACCAUACCUUCCUUUAAUUUGAAACUUAAAAUCCAAUGUCUAUAAACCAAAUUUCACCUCCUCUAUAUUCCGUGUUGUUUCUCCAGUCACUUAGGUCUAUUUCAGCUGUGCCUGCGAUGACCAAUUCUAGUUCUCUCGCAUCAAAAACAGACACCAGUCUGGCAUCCACCACCUGUGGAAUAAUAAGAAUAUGGGGGUAUGGCUUAAGCACCUGGGAAAAAUUAAGUCUCAUCAGAAAAAGGAGGUUUCAGAGAUUUUCAGGAAUAAUAUGGAUGUUCCUGUAUAGGCACUUGGGAAUUUUUUUUAGGAUAAAGUUGAUGAGACUUCACUCAACAGGAUUUUGGUUUCAUAAUUAAUACAGUUUCUUUUUCUCUUUUGAAAAGGAGUUAGAAAAAGUCACAUGGAAUACAUGUAAUAGCUCAUUCUGACUCUCAGAUAAGAUUUCAUAUAUCAAACACGUGGUUUGAUUAAACAUAUCUAAGCAUAAGUAAGGAGUAUGACUUAAAUAUUAUUAGUGGCCAUAAACCAUCACAUGUUCUUUGAAUUUGGGUCAUAGUAUGUUAUUUCAGUGACUCAUGUCACAAGUACAUUAAGCUUUUUUGUGCUCUUGAAACAUAAAAGAAAAAAUAUUGGAUUUUUAAAAUUAAAAGAAAAUAGGUAAAUGCAACAGAAGACAAAAUGGAAUUGUUCCACGCCGUACAGGGAGCCUCAGCACCACUUAUAUGAGACUGAUAGCUAUCUUUACCUCAUAGAAGCCACGCACUAGGCUCUCUGUUUGUUGUACAACACCCCUUUCAAUCCUCCACUUCACCAUCCUCUCGAUGUAUUCCUUCUUGUUCUUCUCUGUCACUGGGAUAUUGGCACCCCCUGGCUUUAAUUCUCGUUCAGUAAUCUGAAAUUAAAAAAAAUAAUAAACAAAACAAAAAAA